GGGGGUGUUCCGGCAUUGACAUCGGGACCGAACACGGAGGUGCAUGCCGAGAGAUCGCAGUUAGUUCUCGUUAAAAAUCGACUGUGAAAAGAUAAUUGGCAACUCACACCAGUUACAAAUGGCCGCCUAAAUCUCGGUCAUCCUGAAACCAGACCAGCCUGCGGGUCCGGCUUUCAGGUCGUUCAGCAGGCUCGCACACCGGGGGUGCCUGUAUCCGGCGUGUCAAAUCAAACCUCAGGCUCGCCGCUGGAACCCUGAUCGUUGGGUCGUCAGCGGUCAAAGCAAAAACGAAUCUAAGCAUGUAGAGCCAAAGUCAGAAGCCAGAUGGACGCGGGUUCGAAUCCCGCCACCUCCACCA
rnacentral:tmRNA from 1 species